GAUGAACGCUAGCGACAGGCUUAACACAUGCAAGUCGAGGGACCGGCGCACGGGUGAGUAACGCGUAUGCAACUUGCCUAUCAGAGGGGGAUAACCCGGCGAAAGUCGGACUAAUACCGCGUGCUGAUAGAUAGGCAUGCGUUCCAUUAGGCAGUUGGCGGGGUAACGGCCCACCAAACCGACGAUGGAUAGGGGUUCUGAGAGGAAGGUCCCCCACAUUGGUACUGAGACACGGACCAAGCUCCUACGGGAGGCAGCAGUGAGGAAUAUUGGUCAAUGGGCGCGAGCCUGAACCAGCCAAGUCGCGUGAGGGAUGAAGGUUUAUGGAUCGUAAACCUCUUUUAUAAGGGAAUAUGUACCUUAUGAAUAAGGAUCGGCUAACUCCGUGCCAGCAGCCGCGGUAAUACGGAGGAUCCGAGCGUUAUCCGGAUUUAUUGGGUUUAAAGGGUGCGUAGGCGGCCUUUUAAGUCAGCGGUGAAAGUCCGUGGCUCAACCAUAGAAUUGCCGUUGAAACUGGGGGGCUUGAGUAUGUUUGAGGCAGGCGGAAUGCGUGGUGUAGCGGUGAAAUGCAUAGAUAUCACGCAGAACCCCGAUUGCGAAGGCAGCCUGCCAAGCCAUUACUGACGCUGAUGCACGAAAGCGUGGGGAUCAAACAGGAUUAGAUACCCUGGUAGUCCACGCAGUAAACGAUGAUCACUAGCUGUUUGCAAGCGGCACAGCGAAAGCGUUAAGUGAUCCACCUGGGGAGUACGCCGGCAACGGUGCAACUCAAAUGAAUUGAC
rnacentral:rRNA from 1 species